GACGAACGCUGGCGGCGUGCCUAAUACAUGCAAGUAGAACGCUGAAGAGAGGAGCUUGCUCUUCUUGGAUGAGUUGCGAACGGGUGAGUAACGCGUAGGUAACCUGCCUUGUAGCGGGGGAUAACUAUUAGAAACGAUAGCUAAUACCGCAUAACAAUGGAUGACACAUGUCAUUUAUUUGAAAGGGGCAAUUGCUCCACUACAAGAUGGACCUGCGUUGUAUUAGCUAGUAGGUGAGGUAAUGGCUCACCUAGGCGACGAUACAUAGCCGACCUGAGAGGGUGAUCGGCCACACUGGGACUGAGACACGGCCCAGACUCCUACGGGAGGCAGCAGUAGGGAAUCUUCGGCAAUGGGGGCAACCCUGACCGAGCAACGCCGCGUGAGUGAAGAAGGUUUUCGGAUCGUAAAGCUCUGUUGUAAGUCAAGAACGGGUGUGAGAGUGGAAAGUUCACACUGUGACGGUAGCUUACCAGAAAGGGACGGCUAACUACGU
rnacentral:rRNA from 1 species